rfam:Cavia porcellus supercont2_25 genomic scaffold, whole genome shotgun sequence.
GGGGACUUAGCUCAGUGGCAUAAGCACCUGCCUUACAAGCAGGUGGUUGCGAGUUCAAUCCCCAAUCCCUA